ensembl:miRNA
AGCCUGUUACACUACAUCAUACAAUACACCACUGUCCUGCUGUUGUGUAAUGGGUUGC